rnacentral:rRNA from 1 species
CCUGCACGAAUGGCGUAAUGAUGGCCAGGCUGUCUCCACCCGAGACUCAGUGAAAUUGAACUCGCUGUGAAGAUGCAGUGUACCCGCGGCAAGACGGAAAGACCCCGUGAACCUUUACUAUAGCUUGACACUGAACAUUGAGCCUUGAUGUGUAGGAUAGGUGGGAGGCUUUGAAGUGUGGACGCCAGUCUGCAUGGAGCCGACCUUGAAAUACCACCCUUUAAUGUUUGAUGUUCUAACGUGGACCCGUGAUCCGGGUUGCGGACAGUGUCUGGUGGGUAGUUUGACUGGGGCGGUCUCCUCCUAAAGAGUAACGGAGGAGCACGAAGGUUGGCUAAUCCUGGUCGGACAUCAGGAGGUUAGUGCAAUGGCAUAAGCCAGCUUGACUGCGAGCGUGACGGCGCGAGCAGGUGCGAAAGCAGGUCAUAGUGAUCCGGUGGUUCUGAAUGGAAGGGCCAUCGCUCAACGGAUAAAAGGUACUCCGGGGAUAACAGGCUGAUACCGCCCAAGAGUUCAUAUCGACGGCGGUGUUUGGCACCUCGAUGUCGGCUCAUCACAUCCUGGGGCUGAAGUAGGUCCCAAGGGUAUGGCUGUUCGCCAUUUAAAGUGGUACGCGAGCUGGGUUUAGAACGUCGUGAGACAGUUCGGUCCCUAUCUGCCGUGGGCGCUGGAGAACUGAGGGGGGCUGCUCCUAGUACGAGAGGACCGGAGUGGACGCAUCACUGGUGUUCGGGUUGUCAUGCCAAUGGCACUGCCCGGUAGCUAAAUGCGGAAGAGAUAAGUGCUGAAAGCAUCUAAGCACGAAACUUGCCCCGA